GCGACGCCGCGUGAAUGAAGGAGGCCCUCGGGAUGUAAACUUCUGAACUAGUCGAAUAACGGGGUAGCGGACACGCUACUAUAGAAGGGAGGCUACGAUGAGUCCCGGCUAACUACGUGC
rnacentral:rRNA from 1 species